rnacentral:rRNA from 1 species
GCAACUCGCCUGCAUGAAGCCGGAAUCGCUAGUAAUCGCGGAUCAGCAUGCCGCGGUGAAUACGUUCCCGGGCCUUGUACACACCGCCCGUCACACCACGAGAGUUUGUAACACCCGAAGUCGGUGGGGUAACCUUUUGGAGCCAGCCGCCUAAGGUGGGACAGAUGAUUGGGGUGAAGUCGUAACAAGGUAGCCGUAUCGGAAGGUGCGGCUGGAUCACCUCCUUUCUAAGGAA